rnacentral:rRNA from 1 species
CCUACGGGCGGCAGCAGUGGGGAAUCUUGCACAAUGGGGGAAACCCUGAUGCAGCGACGCCGCGUGAGCGAUGAAGUAUUUCGGUAUGUAAAGCUCUAUCAGCAGGGAAGAAAAUGACGGUACCUGACUAAGAAGCCCCGGCUAACUACGUGCCAGCAGCCGCGGGAAUACGUAGGGGGCAAGCGUUGUCCGGAUUUACUGGGUUUAAAGGGAGCGUAGACGGGCCGGCAAGCCAGAUGUGAAAGCCGGGGGCUCAACCCCGGGACUGCAUUUGGAACUGUAAGUCUGGAGGGUCGGAGGGGCAGGCGGAAUUCCUAGUGUAGCGGUGAAAUGCGUAGAUAUUAGGAGGAACACGAGUGGCGAAGGCGGCCUGCUGGACGUUAACUGACGUUGAGGCUCGAAAGCGUGGGGAGCAAACAGGAUUAGAUACCCCAGUAGUC